AUUUAAAGCUUUUGAUUUGAUUGCAAAAUUGCCCUUUGGAAAGGUUAUCUUAAUUUAUAUUUCUAUCUUGUUUCUAAGUUUCUUCACUAGUGAUGGAAGAGUUAUCUUUUUUAAAAAAGUCUUUGAUAAAAUCAUUCUGGAAUUUUAGAGUGCUAAGAAGACAGAUACUUAAUUAGAUGAUGAGGUCCAUCUGUAUAAGUGGCAUAAACCAUAUUAAUGAAGAGAUCACCAGACCUUAUCGUAGGGUAGUGCCUUACUUGUGUGAAAUAAGAAUGUAGUUGGUACCUCCCACUUGGUAAGUCCCUGUGUCGGAGUGCAGCAUCAGUCCUUUCCCCCAAGCUUGUUUAUAUUAGCAGACACCCUUGUGGUUGUUUCUCACUUGUUUCUGUUUUAUUUCCUAACAAGAUAGCCACUGUUUAGGAGGGCCCUGACUGAGAAAGAGGUUAGCAUCAGGUGUUUUGCGUGAGUGAGGAACACAGGAGAGAACUCAACAAACACGUGAAAUAACAGAAGCAGACUUAUUACUUACGGAUCCCAGCAAGAAUAGGACAGUGUGCCUCGCAAGGCCAGGGGAAGGGGAGAGCCAUCAGCAGAUGGGAGCAGGAGAGAGGAAACAACAGACCUGGGAGCCUAAGUCUUUCCUGGGGUGCAAGUUGUCACCCAAGUAGGUUUCCCAUGGGAAGUUGUAAUUGGUGGGUUUAGAGCAAACAGGGAGGAGUCCCAUGGAUUCAUGCUGCAACUAAGAGGGGGUCUCUGAAGCAUGCCUGUGCAGUCUCUGUGGGUGUGGGGGUCAGUAUGGUUAGUCAAGAAAGAUGUAUGUAGCUGUCUUACAGUGUGAGGCAACACUAUACUGGAUCCAGCACACUGAGGAACUGGGAGGAGACGGAGCCUUGGAAUCUGUAUUGAGGGUGAUUAGCUCUGCUUCUGACAUCAGAAUGUUACACUUCGACUCAAAAUGGACACCGAAGCAACAUAAAAUGAAAUCUACAAGAAAUGAGGACUCCCCUGACUGCUUUUUCUCAUGAGUGCCUUGGCAUGAGAAAGGCCCAGAGUUAUGGCAUAAGCCUUGGGAGCAGGGGUCACAACCCAAGGAGCUGGCACGAAGUCUCCUACCUGGCUGGUGAAUUGGUAAUUGAGACUACAUUAUGUGGAGCAACAGCCAACAAAGGUAUAUUUCUCAUAUACGUGUAUCUGUGGGCUGGGAUUCAUAAUCAUAGCAGGUGCUAUAGGACUGGAAGUUUGUAUCCCUCAUAAGUUGAAGUCAAAACUCAUAUGUUGAAACCCUAUGCUCAGUGCGAUGAUAUUUGGAGGUGGCGGUCUUUGGGAGAAGAUUCAGUCAGAAAGGGGGAGCCUUUGCUGCUGGGGUUAGUGCGCUCAUAAGAGAGACCCCAGAGGGCUUCUAUGCCCCUUCUAAUAUGUGAUGAUACACUGAGAAGAUGGUUGUCUAUGAGGAAAUGGACUCCUACCAGAUACUGAAUCUCCUGGAGCCUUGAUCUUGGACUUCCCCAGGCUCCAGAACUGCAAGAUAUAAAUUUCUAUUGUUGAUAAGCCACCCAUUCUAUGGUAUUCGUGACAGCAGCUUGAAGGGGAGGGCACCAGGUAUCACGCAGUGCAGGGUGGUGUCACGUUGAUCUGAUGAGUGGGUCAUAUCAGAAUUCUGAGAUAAGAAAGCUGCCCUGUUAAUUUGAUUCACAAAUGACAGGAUUUCAUUGAAAUGUUUGUUAUACUUACACUGCAUAGAAACAGUAUGAAACCCAGACAUCCACGUAAUAGUAAUUAAUUUGGUGGUUAUAAAUGGACAGUUUAUCCAAUGUCCCCCCUCACAUUUUAAUAGAAAUGUAUUCAAAAAACAUUUUAAUGGUGUUUAGAAAUAGGGAUCACUCAAAAUGUGGUUCCUGGACCAUCAGCCCAGCAUCCCCUGAAGGCUUGUCAGUGGUGCUGUGGUGUGAGCCCCACCCCAGACCUCCAGAAACGGAACCUGCACUUUAAUAACAUCCCGUGGCGACUCCUAAUCCCAGGAAAGCAUAAGAAGCAUAGUUCUGGGAAACUACUCUCAGUCAGUUGAGAAUAGUGAAUGAGGGCAUGGAAGACCUCUGGCAAAAUGAAGGUCAUAAAUGGCAGUUCCAUUUGAGUCUUGGCUUUAGAACAAGAAAAUAGACCAGGGAAUAUGACUGUUCAAUAUAUGUGAAUUGAAUUGUAUAUGGUGAGCCUCAAAGUUUUCUGCACAUUAAAAGUACCUGGGAGGUUUUUAAAAAAUACAAUAUUUGAUCUCCCACUUACCAGACCUGUGGGGUGCAGCUCCCAACAAUAGUAUUUAAGACUCUCUAGGUGAUUCCAGCCUGCAGUUGAUGCUGAGAUCUGCUGAACUACGUUGCCUUGCCUUCUCCUGACCCACUCAACCAUCAUUGAAAACUACAAGCCCCUUAUAACAAAAUUUUGAUAUCCUAGAAUAAAAACCACCACAUGGAAACACUAUAUCCAUAUGUAAACUGAUAUCUUCAUUUGCUCUGGUUUUACCAGUCACUUCUUAAACAAAUAGCCAUUUGUGUCAUAUAUUUCACUCCAUAAUUUUGCCUUUGACAAACAAUUCUGAAAUAUUUUACAUUCUAAGUUCUGAAUAAUUUUCACUAAGAUAGGUUCUAACUAAGUCUUUAAUAGUAUUUAAUGUUUAAAGUUAUAUUCUUUCUGUGUUCUGAGUACUUCUGAAGAUUACUAUCAGAGCUUGCACGUUGUAAAAAUACACAAUCUGGGGAAAAUUGUAGCUAUUUGAGUGGCUAGGCUUCUGUUUAACUGUGCACUUGUAAUUGGCAAGCUACUUUGCUAUAAGAAAGUAGAAUAGAAGGGAAAGGACCCGCUGAUUGGGCUAAGGACAGGUGCACUCUUCUGUAAUUGUUAACUUUCUGAAGUUGCAUUAAGCAAAUGCAUGCAUAGCAAAAGCACAAACGAACUGAGAAGAGCUGGUACAGAUGGGUCCCAUGUGCUCCUUCUAAACAUUCUUCUUCAGUGCACAAUGUAUUUGAAUGUGGGCUUCUGUGUGCCAGAUUUUGUAGCACAAAUUUAUGUCCAACUUCUAUUGUGUUGUGAAGAUCACAAAAUACACAGUGGCUACCAGAUCUAUUAUAUGAGAGACUUUCAUAGCUGACACGUAUUGUAAUUUGAUUCAAAGCAUACAAACAAUAACAACAAAGCCAAUCAAGGAAUGAGAACAAUUCAGCAGGAGAGAAUCAUUUGAACAAGAUUCAGUGCAAUUGUUAACGAACAUUAAGUCAUGCGCCAGAGACCCGAAUGCUGUGAAUUCAGGGUUUGCUCUUACAUUGGAUUUUCAGCUAUGAAACAGAAAUAAAAAAGAAAUGUCGAUAUCUGUUUCCUAUUAGCUCCCAUUUCAUUUUAGGUUGGGUUUAUGUCCUAUUUUAUUGCAAAUUAUGAUUGGGAAUACAAUGGGUAAAAUUAAAUAACUGAUUCUACAGCAGCUAUUAAAUUGGUACCUAUUAACAGAAAGGCUAGCUUUUCAUCUGCAGUACUGGUUCCUUAAACUACACUCAAUACAUCUUGCUUCCCAAUCAUUCAGUGGUUUUCCUGCUCAGCCCUGUGCCACUGUCCUCACUCAGUGAUACCCAUUCUCCUCUCCCACCUCAACAGAAUCCUCGUAAUUGCACCACCCUUUUUCCUACACUAAAGGAACUAUCAAGAUUAUUCAUACCAACCUGUAAUUGAUGAAUAAACCAAUCCAUUAUCUGCCACUCAAGGAGUAUUUUUAAGUAAGAGCGGCUAAGAACCCUAAGUUCUUAAUUUUCAAAAUAAGACACACACAUAUCAGGGAGAACAGGAAGCCACAUGAUAGAGAUGGUGAACUUUCAGGGAUAACUCAUUUUACUUGAAGAAAGGUUACAUAAAAUAUUUUUUUUUCUAAAAAGAUGAAUGUAUAAUGUCACGCAGUACAAAAUCCACAUAACAUUUACAGGUGAGAUAUAAAUAUUCACAUAUGAAUUUCACUUUUUCUGAAGCGUCACUGUCAGCCACCCCCAUAUCUCAGUGGUCCCAUUUCUCUUUCCUCUGCUUCGAGGAAUAGUUCAAGAGGAAGGUUUUAAGAGGGAUUGCCACAGGACAGACCCAUUGACCUCUUGAUGAAAUCCACUAGAAGCAGGGGAACUGCUUAUUUUUUCCCAGGUCGGAUGAAGGUUGACACUCUGGGUGAUGUUGCCAGUACUUCACAUUCUCAACAGUCAAUUACAUACUCAAGGAGGAGCUGGAAACAUGCAGCGGUCAGCCCUGCCCUACAAUGACUGUGCUGUGAGAGUACAGAGAAGGAAAGAUUUCACUGCUUCCAAAGCCCCAAAGACAAGCAGGGCUGCUCCCCAGAGCACUAUGUUUUACAGCUCAGGAGGUCGC
ensembl:lncRNA